UACGUAGGGUGCAAGCGUUAAUCGGAAUUACUGGGCGUAAAGCGUGCGCAGGCGGUGAUGUAAGACAGAUGUGAAAUCCCCGGGCUCAACCUGGGAACUGCAUUUGUGACUGCAUCGCUAGAGUACGGCAGAGGGGGAUGGAAUUCCUCGUGUAGCAGUGAAAUGCGUAGAUAUGCGGAGGAACACCGAUGGCGAAGGCAAUCCCCUGGACCUGUACUGACGCUCAUGCACGAAGGCGUGGGGAGCAAACAGG
rnacentral:rRNA from 1 species